ACCCUUUGUUACAGUGCACUGAUUUAAUGUGAUAACGAUAAUAUCUUGCCAUCUCCUACUGUAGAUACCAUCAUUCUUUUAUUUCUUUUGGCGCAAUUUUAUGGAAUUUGGUCUGCAAAAUUCUUUAAAGGUAUCUUCGAUUUCAUAAAUAACGUCAACACGUGACAGCAACAGGUAAAAUAGGGGAACAACCUGGCAGUAUGGGCAUCAUCUAUUUCCAGUUAUCAAUUCCAAUGCCGAAAAUAUAAAAAUGUUACAACGGCAAGUCAAUAGACGGCAAUAGAUUGGUCAACAUCCGCGUAUUAUAUUACAAAGCCAUUGCACAGACAGUCUACCAUUUGCA